UGGGGCGUAGCCAAGUGGUAAUGCAUCGGGUUUUGAUCCCGUGUACCGCAGGUUCGAAUCCUGCCGCCCCAGCCA
rnacentral:tRNA from 1 species